GCCACAUUUCCCAAUUUUUUUGGCCAUUUUUUUCCUCUGACAGCAUUUUUAGGACCCGUGUCCCCCUGAACACAUGGAGGGAUGGAGCAAUUGAAUGUCAUGCCCUGAUUUCACAGAUGGGGGCAGGGAGGCUCAGCAAGGAAAGUCAGGUGGAGCAGAGACCCAUUCCCUGCCCCUGCCUUGGGGCUCUUUUCGAAACUCUGCCCUGCUCACAUCUGCCCCAAGACACUCUGCCUCCAUGAAAGUGCAGGUUAUUUUACAGUUUGGAGGUGACACUGGACCCCUUGGAAAUCAGAGAAUGUGCACUUUCUUGGCAAAAUAUCCAAGGUAAGGGAGAGUAUAAAUGUGAAUGAGAAUGCUGAGUGUCGGAAGACAUUUGUUUUUUGUUUACAUCUAGGACCAGACCAGAGGGAGUGAGGUCUAUCUAUCCCACGAAGAAACUGAGAUGCAGCUUAUGAAAUAGAGGCUGACAAUGGCUCACCCACCUCCUUUGUAAGAGCCUGGUGUGUGCUACAGGAGCAUGGCCCAUAUACGUGUCAGGUUGAAGGACAACUCAGGAGCUGUCCAAGGGCUCAACUUGGCCCCACUUGCCCCAUCUGGCAGCCUGGACCGAGCAUUGUUCAUUGAGUCCCACACCCACAUGGCCCCAGAGUCAAACCGCCUUUCAUGCUGAAGAAUGGAACUGACACUCCCAGCAACAUCUCCCCCAACCAUGCCCAUCUGUUAAUCCAACUUAAAAA
rnacentral:lncRNA from 1 species